CUUCAACUUUAUUGAUUGUGUUGGUGUCUGUGUGAAUACUUUUUAGUUUUUAUUAUCAUUAUUUGUUUAAAACUUUUACUGCUCCGGGGAAUUUCCAAUUCGAGGAAGUUACUUGCAGAAUCAUCUGAGGAAGCAGCCAUUCCAUCUCCAUUGACUCCUGUAUUAGCAAUAAGUAGUGGAAAAGGUGAAGACCAGAACCAGAAAGCAGUCUCUAAGCCUUCAACAGUUCAAGUUGUAUUGAAGGGCAUUAAACAGGAAUUCUACCUAUGGCUAGAAGUGUUGGAAACGAUGAUGCUUCUGAGGCAAUUGAAAGAAUCUGAGGAAAGAAGCAAGGAGAAUGAUGCUAACCUUCUAAGGAAAUUGAAAGAAUUUGAGGAACACCGCAAGGAGAGUGACGCUAAUGUACAACUCUUGAAGGCACAAGUUAAUCGGGUUGAGAGUUUGCUAGCACAAGUACUUAAAAACAUGGCCCCAUUUGAGCUAGCUCAAUCUGAUUAUUCUUCCUAACUUUACCAAUCAGGUACUUCAAUUGACCAAGGGAUUGCAUACGUGCUGAUGCUUCUGGCAUUGGUGCUCACAUACCUCAUCCUUCCACUUGAUGCCUCUUCCUAUGGCUUCUAGGAAGGAAAUAUAAGAUUUUUAGAUGAUAGGUUAAAGCAGGAAAUUGCUUUGUGCAUAACAUAGAUAUAUGAUAUUAGGGAUAAUUUUCCUCUCUCUUCAAUUGAUUGUUGGUGGCGUUCAUUAAUUUUUGCAAAUUAAUUGAAUGGAAUUAUUAUUUUGGUGAAUGAUUUUUUUGUCAUGGGCCUGGCCUUCUUGUUGGGAAGUGGCACUUCUCCAUAAAUCUAUUACUUGAGGAUAAUUGAUGGAGCACAGUGGUUUUUAAUUUUUUUU